ACUUUUGGGUACACUUUAAAAUUGUAGCCAUAGUUUUUAGGUUUUGACCAUACUAACAUUAGAAACAUUUUUCAAGUGUGCUCCUAAGUGGUAUAUGUCCCAUUUUUAAGUGUAUUUACAUCAUGAUAUAAUUGAUAAUACUUAUUUUCAUCUCAGAAAUCACUUUUAAAAUAUAGAAUUUUUACAAGAUAUAAAACAACUUUUUAUAAGUGUGACCAUACAUACUUUCUAAAAUUUUCACUUAAGAUAUUUUAUUUUCCAAUAUAUAUAACUUUUCCUCUAAUUUAUAAUUGAAUAAAAAAUUAAUUCAUACAAUAUAAUUUUUAAGAAACCUCUCAAUAUAAAUGACUUUCAACCCUAAAAUCAAAUUUGUGCCCCAAAAAAGGUGGAGUGUGAAGAUGAAAAGAAUCAAGAAAGCCAGGUUAUACCUAAGGAGGUUGUGGUCUCUCUUUUAUGUCUUAGGAGGUAAACCUGUUGUGAAAAUCCACGAUUUGAGCAAAGAUGGAGGCCACACAUUCAAGUAUGUGUCUCUUUGAAAGUAUAAUGCAGUUUGUUCUCGUGUUCAAGGUUAUGUAUGCUUAAAGGAUGUCCAUGAUUGAGGAGCUUGAUUUGUGAUUCCCAAGCUCAAGGAAAGGGGUCCUUACGUUCCAAGGAUUUCCUACUCAUGUCUUCAUGUAAAGUUUUUAUAAAGUUAUAUAUUUAUGUCCUAUGUUUUACGGGCCAUCUACAUAAUGUAUCCUAAGGUUGUUCAGUCUAAGAUGGAAAAGAGACUUAGGGUCUAAAUUUGUAUUAUGACUUAUAUUUUGUAUAUUUACGAAGUGAUGUUUCUAGCAUAUGAUGUGCUAU